rnacentral:rRNA from 1 species
AUGAACGCUGGCGGCGUGCCUAAUACCUGCAAGUCGAGCGAACGGACGAGAAGCUUGCUUCUCUGAUGUUAGCGGCGGACGGGUGAGUAACACGUGGAUAACCUACCUAUAAGACUGGGAUAACUUCGGGAAACCGGAGCUAAUACCGGAUAAUAUUUUGAACCGCAUGGUUCAAAAGUGAAAGACGGUCUUGCUGUCACUUAUAGAUGGAUCCGCGCUGCAUUAGCUAGUUGGUAAGGUAACGGCUUACCAAGGCAACGAUGCAUAGCCGACCUGAGAGGGUGAUCGGCCACACUGGAACUGAGACACGGUCCAGACUCCUACGGGAGGCAGCAGUAGGGAAUCUUCCGCAAUGGGCGAAAGCCUGACGGAGCAACGCCGCGUGAGUGAUGAAGGUCUUCGGAUCGCAAAACUCUGUUAUUAGGGAAGAACAUAUGUGUAAGUAACUGUGCACAUCUUGACGGUACCUAAUCAGAAAGCCACGGCUAACUACGUG